rnacentral:lncRNA from 1 species
CCUCCUCCUGGCAGCCCAGCAACAAGCGGCCACCGCCCCCACCCCGGGGCGGGCAGGUGAGUCCCCCCCCGACCCGCCCCCAGCCCAGAGGGCCGCCCUGCGCUCUCGCCCCCGGCCCCUGGCCGCGCGUGCCCCAGGUCCCCCAGUAGCGCCCCAGCGCCGCUGCUGCUCAGACACACCGAAAUAGGAAUGAUUUAAUCCAACGACACCUCCCAGGGCUGCCCAGUCCCGGUUCCGCCGGCUCCUGAGAUUGGGGAGGGGCAGAAUUGGGUGGAACUCGGGCUGGGGGGCGGAAAUGGCCCGAGUGGGAGGGAAGGCGCGGAGUCGGACGCUACCUUGUAACCGAGUUAGAUUUCUGCAGAAGAGGAGGACGAAGGUCGCCCACGGACCCUCGGGUGACCUCGGUGCGGCCUGGUGGCCGGGCACACCCGCGCAUGGACGAGGUCCCUCCCAGGGGUCUCCCUGCAGGGGUCUCCGGGGAGGUAGUGGGCACGUGGGUCCUUAACCUCUCCAUUGCAUCAUCCCCAUCCCGGUGGGUACAGAAGCGCAGCAACCCCGCGGUGCUCCCGGAAGACACCGCGUCUCCAACAUUUACACGGAGAUGCUGCUCGGCUCAGGUCGGGUCCGUACGCUUCCCGAGGUUCCGACCUGAAUCUGAAAGUGCUUCUAAACCCCAUGCUUCACAGAACGUUCGGAGGGGGAGGCGCUCCGUGGGGGCUGCUGCGUGCCCAUGUAGCCGAACUGACUCGAAUAAAAGCGUGUCCACGUCUACAUCACACAUCUGUGUAAAUGCAGAAGCCUGCGGAUGCGCGGGGCUGGCCAGACUUCACAGUGUGCAGACACAUGGGCUCAUGCACGCGCACGCGCGCGCUCACACACACACCCCAAAUUACCUCCGGGAUGGAGAAAGCCGCUGCGGAUUGGCCAGCAGAGCCGUCACUCACGCCCAGGGGGCAGGGAGACUUCGCAAAGCUGUUUCCUUUUUUUUUUUUCCUCCUCUCCUCCCUACCGUUUCAUUUAAUGGUAAAACAACAGCAGAGCUCUGAAAGUUAGCCAUCUGCGCAGAGUUUGCCUUCUUUAAGGAGGGAGGCGUCAGACGAUAUCCAUUUAAAUAUAUUUUGUACUUCCACAAAGGAUGGAAAGGGAAAUUCACGAAGGGAGUGGAGGCGGAAAGGGAGCUCCGAGAAAGAAGGAGGGGUCAUUCCGCGGGGGGCGGGGGGGGGGGCGGGGGCCGACGCAGGGGAAAGAGUUGCUCUCUACACCGAAAAGGGACUUUGACCUUCCAUUGAUCUCGAAAUUCAAAAACGUUUCUUCACAGGUCAGAUUGUAACAAACACUCGUUCCUAAUUUAUGAACUCGCCGUUUUGAUUUUAUUAUUUAAGCAUGCGCCAGCAAUCGUGUUUCCUUAAGAAAGAACUGACCUAUUUUUGGCUGGAGAUAAACGAUCAUGUUAACAGAUGUUAAUCUUGUAAUCUGUUUUUCCUGUAAGCACUUUACCUAGCCGGGUUUCAGACCUUAAAAAUAACAUCUUUUCCAAAAAGACCUGACGUCACAAUUCACUCCCUGAAAAAUCACACUCCCCCUCCAGUUUCUUCCCCUGCAAUGAUUUCAAAGACAUUAAAUCUUUUCCACUUUAUAAAUGCUGAUCUGUUCUGCCUCUACUCCCACAGGCUCUUAUUUGCAUUUCAAAUUCCACAGGUUACACCAGUCGCCUUUUCAAAAAAUGUAAACCAACAAUGCAGCAGCAAAUGGCUUUUUGUGCAUCUGGAUUAAAUAAAGCACAGAAUGAAUAUAUUUAAAAAGAGGGCUGCGCAAGU